rnacentral:rRNA from 1 species
UACAGAGGUCUCAAGCGUUGUUCGGAUUCAUUGGGCGUAAAGGGUGCGUAGGCGGCGCGGUAAGUCGGGUGUGAAAUCUCGGAGCUUAACUCCGAAACUGCAUUCGAUACUGCGGUGCUUGAGGACUGGAGAGGAGACUGGAAUUUACGGUGUAGCGGUGAAAUUCGUAGAUAUUCGGAAGAACACCAGUGGCGAAGGCGGCUCGCUGGACCAGUAUUGACGCUGAGGUGCGAAAGCGUGGGGAGCAAACAGG